rnacentral:rRNA from 1 species
GAUGAACGCUGGCGGCGUGCCUAAUACAUGCAAGUCGAGCGAACGGAUGAGAAGCUUGCUUCUCUGAUGUUAGCGGAGGGCGGGUGAGUCACGCGAGGAUCACCUACCUAUAAGACUGGGAUAAUUUCGGAAAACCGGCGAUAAUACCGGAUAAUAUUUUGAACCGCAUGGGUCAAAAGUGAAAGACGGUCUUGCUGUCAGUACUAGAUGGAUCCGCGCUGCAUUAGCUAGUUGGUAAGGUAACGGCUUACGACGGCAACGAUGCAUAGCCGACCUGUGAGCGUGAUCGCCCGCCCUGGAGCUUAGACACGCUCCAUACUCCUACGGUAGGCAGCAGUAUGGAAUCGUCCGCAACGGUCGAGAGCCUUACGGAGCAAGGCCACGUGAGUGAUGAAGGUCUUCGGUUCGUAAUGCCCUGUUAUGAGUUAUGAACAGAUUUGGAAGGAACUGAGCACAGCUUGACGGUACCUAAUAAGAAAGCCACGGCUAACUACGUG